rnacentral:lncRNA from 1 species
GACGACGUUAUUGUUCUUCUUGGUCACGCUGGUGCCAUUGAUUGAAUUCGUUUAACAAUUCAUUGAUUCGAUCUAAAAACGAAUCAUCGAUAUUAGCCGGCGUCUGACUAUUCCCAAAUCCCUGAGUGUUAGUGUUUUGUUGUGUUCCCAAUCUAAAAUCCCCGAAAAUUGUCCAUCCUUCAUGCUCACCUGCACUGUCGUG